GAUGAACGCUGGCUGCUUGCCUAAUACAUGCAAGUCGAGCGAACAGACGAUGAGCUUUCUCCUCUGACGUUAGCGGCGGACUUGUAAUUAACACGUGGAUAACCUACCUAUAAUACUGGGAUAACUUCGGGAAACCGGAGCUAAUUCCUGAUAAUAUAUUGAACCGCAUUGUUCAAUAUUGAAAGACGGUUUUGCUGUCACUUAUAGAUCGAUCCGCGCCGCAUUAGCUAGUUGGUAAGGUAACGGCUUACCAAGGCGACGAUGCGUAGCCGACCUGAGAGGGUGAUCGGCAACACUGGAACUGAGCCACGGUCCAGACUCCUACGGGAGGCAGCAGUAGGGAAUCUUCCGAAAUGGGCGAAAGCCUGAAGGAGCAACGCCGCGUGAGUGAGGAAGGUCUUAGGAUCGUAAAACUCUGUUAUUAGGGAAGAACAAAUGUGUAAGUAAAUAUGCACGUCGGGACGGUACCAAAUCAGAAAGCCACGGCUAACUACGUG
rnacentral:rRNA from 1 species